GACGAACGCUGGCGGCGUGCCUAAUACAUGCAAGUAGAACGCACAGUUUAUACCGUAGCUUGCUACACCAUAGACUGUGAGUUGCGAACGGGUGAGUAACGCGUAGGUAACCUGCCUGGUAGCGGGGGAUAACUAUUGGAAACGAUAGCUAAUACCGCAUAAUAUUGAUUAUUGCAUGAUAAUUAAUUGAAAGGUGCAAUUGCACCACUACCAGAUGGACCUUCGUUGUAUUAGCUAGUAGGUGAGGUAACGGCUCACCUAGGCGACGAUACAUAGCCGAACUGAGAGGGUGGUCGGCCACACUGGGACUGAGACACGGCCCAGACUCCUACGGGAGGCAGCAGUAGGGAAUCUUCGGCAAUGGACGAAAGUCUGACCGAGCAACGCCGCGUGAGUGAAGAAGGUUUUCGGAUCGUAAAGCUCUGUUGUAAGAGAAGAACGGGUGUGAGAGUGGAAAGUUCACACUGUGACGGUAGCUUACCAGAAAGGGACGGCUAACUACGUG
rnacentral:rRNA from 1 species